UAAGGACACUGCAGCCAUAGUGCAGUUGCUGGGGGGGAAAUAAAACAAAAAUGGAAUUAGCUCUGAGAGAAACCUAACUUUUUUCCUUUGCCCUUUUGUUACUGCAAUUACACUUCUGGCAGUCUCCUGUCAUAGUCUGAUGUCCCUAACGUGGAAAGGGUGGCUGAACCCCAAGGCUUGUUGAGCAGGGUCCUCUGGAUGCCGACCUACUGCUGUUGCCAAAGCCAUGGACUGAGCAGUGCCAGUACAGCUGGGACAUAGCCACCAGUAUUCCAGGCUGCUUGAUGGUGAAGAGAGCAGUGUGCUCUGUGACCUGGCUGCGACAGGGUGUGCAGGGGAGCUGAGCUCAGCAUGCGUGCUUGCAUGCACGAGUUUUCAAGAAUUCUGGCUCUUCCCCUGGGGAGAAUGCUCUUCGCUCGCCUUUUUCACUUCAGAAGGAAUAAUUACCAAUGUUUGUGGGUUUUCUUCAUUUGAGGACAAAACAAGAAGAAUUAUUAUCACAGGCAGUAGUAUAUUUCUUCCCAUCUACCUGGAUUGAUGAGAAUUCAUUUUUUUGCUUGGACAACAUUUUAAAAAGACAAAAAAUUCAGCCAAUACAAUCAGCAAAAUCCUUCUCCUUCAUUAACUAAGUGCCCAAGAGACAAAUGGACA